rnacentral:lncRNA from 1 species
CUCAGAGGCUGGUCGAGGAAGAGAACACAUGACCAAGCAGAACCAAUCACAUGCUUUCCCUGGGAGUGAUAGGUUGGGGUGGGGUAGAGGGAAUCGUCUGUCUGCUGGAGGGUAUGAAGCUGGAGCUAAAAGUCAGCCGCCAUAUUUCCCAGCAUAUAGAGAAAUCCUGUCUGCAGAGUGAAACAAAUCAGCAAAACAGGGAGGAGAAAUUGGAGGCAGUGACCCAGGGGCAUUGAAUUCUGGUUCUGGUUUAAGAGGUCCUGGUUCCUACAGUAAUUCCUUCCAUUCUGCUUUACCAAAAUACCCUUUUCUGAUGAGUGACCCAACACACUCCCUUCUCCCUAAGCCAGCUUGAGCUGAGUUUUCAUCACGUGCAGCCAAGAGCCCUGACUGAUUUGAAACCCUGUAAUAGCUAUUAAAUCAGCUCAUCCUCUCAUUCCAACCCAAUCACCGUCUUCAGCCGUCAGCUCCUGAAUGCUUUAAAACUUCACUAGAGAAAGUGCUGUCAUGAAGGGGGCAUGGAGGAGCAAGGAAAAGCAGCCUGAAGGAAAUGAAUGGACCGUUGGGAUAAGGAAACAGACAGGAUGAAAAAUUACCUCUCAGACAGCAGAGUGGGGAGACAGAUAAAUGGGAGACUUUUGGCAGCCAAGAAAGUAAAUGAAAGGAUAAGAAAGAUGACAUGGAAUGCUAAGAACAGUAUUACCUGAAACACUCACAGAUCCUUUGAUUGGAGAUGAAAGGGCUCCUGAGAGGCUAAAGGAAGGAUGACUCACGGUAGCUGUCAACAGUAUCUGACCCGCUCUAAGUACAGAAUCUCUGCUAUGCUACUGGAUUUAAUUGAGCAUCCAAUAAAAUUAUAUAUGUGGAAAUGCUUUAAAAAGUAACUUCGAAAUGUACUGAUAAUUUUAAUUAUAUUUUGGUAUUUCCUAC